rnacentral:lncRNA from 1 species
AGGAGGGAGAAGAGGCAAUUGACUCUAUGCCAUUUGUAUACAGUCUUGUAAAACCACUGCUGAAGAUUUGAAAUAUUAUUCUGACUUGAAUAACUUGCCACUCCAAGUGAAGCUGUUUUCUUCGCUAGACUUGCCACAGUUUGGAAGGGAAGCUGUCCUUCAGCAAUGAUAAAUGACACAGCAAUUGUUUCUGCAAGUCCAGAAUGAUGAAUAGAUCUUGCUUCAUCCAAAGCUUUAUUUCCAAAAGCUUUGACACAAAGAGAGACCAAUUUCAUUAUUGCUACAUUCUAGAAGAAGAAACAAAACCAUUUGCCAGCAUGCUUAAUAUGAUGAAUUUCUAAGCUGAAAGCACUAUCCUUGUAAUCUUUUUGAUGUCUCUUAAUAUAUCUAUCCAUUUUCCUUACAAAGACCGUUUGUUUAUUAAGAUCCAUUCUGUGAAAAGAGUCACAUGGUGUAUUUCAAACGUCCGUUUAAAAUGAUUCUUCAGGUAUGAUGCCAGAAGUUUUAAUAGCCCUCCGCCUCCCCUUCACAUUGCCUGUGUGAUCUCUGGUGUGUCCUGCCAAGUACCCUCACUCUCUCACUUUCGUUGCCCAAGUGCAUUCUGAGUAGCAAGGACUUCUGCUUGGACUCAUUGUUUGGGUCAGGCUCAGAGAGAGCUCUUAUGUUUUUUCUCAUCAGCUAAUAAAGAUAAGGGGUGGCAUCAGGGGAAGCAUGCCUUAGAGAUGAAGGGCAAAUGGAGAUCUUUGAUUCAAAGAAUGCGGCUCCAUCACUUUCUCUCUUACAUAAAAAUUCUAUUCAUCCCACACUUCCUACUGCAAAUCACAUUGGUACACCAUGACAAUGCAGUAGAUACACAAGGACUUUCCCACAUCACACUACAAACACAGCCACCCUCUCUGGGGAACGUAAGAGAAACUUUUGGGCUUCCACUUCCCCUCCAUUUGUUUGAAGGAUCAAGAGAACACUGUUCCAUUUUCAACAAAAAUUAAAAAGGAAAAUCAUGAAAAGAGCCAACCUCCUCUUUUUUGUUUUCUCCCUUAAUAUAUUGUUGCAUCCAGGGAAGAGGAAACAGUGAGCGCCACUGAUACUGGGUCCCCAGGGACCCCAUAAGGGUCACUCCCCAGCUAUCAAAUGAGCAUGUCUUCCUCCACUUGCAGAGUGAGUUUUUAACGGGAAUGGAAGUUACUCUUGGCUCAGCUCUGAUGUUGAAAAAAAUAAAAUAAAAAGAAAAGAAAAAAAGAAAAGAAAAAGAAAUGCCACAGUGCUUCAGGGAACCAGGCUGUGUUCACACCUGGGUUUUCACAGGACAGAGAUUUUUAGCUUUAAGGCUUUGGAGAUUUGGAGAAAGGAGAUUUCAGAAAUCAUUAGCCAUGUUCCUGCCAGCCUCAGCAGGCCAGCUAAGAACAGUGUGUUCCUUAAGGGCAGGAACAAAUUCCUUCCACAUGUUUUGGUGUUUUUGUUUCUUCUUAACGUGCUAUCAGUGAUGCCAUGGGCCAAUUAACUUUGGGACUUAAAAUGUGACGAUAUCUCAUUUAUUCUACACCGUUGCUAAAUAAGAUGAUCAUGGGAUAAAAUUUUCCAGGUAACUGGACUGUCAUCCUUUGAGAACUGUAUUUUAAAA